rnacentral:tRNA from 4 species
GCGCGGGUGGCGAAAUGGUAGACGCACUACCUUGAGGUGGUAACGCUCGCAAGGGCAUGGAGGUUCGACUCCUCUCCCGCGCACCA